AAUGAACUUGGUGUGGUUGUUGCUGGCCCUUUUGGGGGCAUGUGCACACCCACCAUCCUCAUCUCUCCACCUGUGCACCUCUUGUAGACUUGGGAUAGACUUUCCGAGGCAACUCGGUCUGGAGGAAUGCUGCUCAAGCUUUCUUUGUAUUUCCCAGUCUACGUUUUUUUAUAUACCCCAUAGCAUGUAACAGAAUGUAUCAUUUGGGCCCUUGUGCCUAUAAACCUUAUACAACUUUCAGCAACGGAUCUCUUGGCUCUCGCAUCGAUGAAGAACGCAGCGAAAUGCGAUAAGUAAUGUGAAUUGCAGAAUUCAGUGAAUCAUCGAAUCUUUGAACGCACCUUGCGCUCCUUGGUAUUCCGAGGAGCAUGCCUGUUUGAGUGUCAUUAAAUUCUCAACCCUAUCAGUUUAUUUCUGAUAGUGGCUUGGAUGUGGGGGUUUCUCUUGCUGGCUCAGGUCAGCUCCCCUUAAAUGCAUUAGCUGGUGCCCGUGUGGACUGUCUAUUGGUGUGAUAAUUAUCUACACCAUGCAUGGAUGUCUGCUUAGCACUGCUUCUAACCGUCUGUUAAUUCGGACAAUACAAUGACAAUUUGACCUCAAAUCAGGUAGGACUACCCGCUGAACUUAAGCAUAUCAAUAAGCGGAGGAAAAGAAACUAACAAGGAUUCCCCUAGUAACUGCGAGUGAAGCGGGAAAAGCUCAAAUUUAAAAUCUGGCGGUCUCUGGCUGUCCGAGUUGUAAUCUAGAG
rnacentral:rRNA from 1 species